GGGGGUAUAGCUCAGUGGUAGAACAUGUGCUUAGCAGGUACAAGACCCUGGGUUCGAUCCACAGCACAACCA
rnacentral:tRNA from 1 species